CCGGGCGUGUUCUAACGGCAAGAUCCCUGGCUGUGAACCAGGCAAUGCGGGUUCGAUUCCCGUCGCUCCGGACCA
rnacentral:tRNA from 1 species